UACGUAGGGGGCUAGCGUUGUCCGGAAUCAUUGGGCGUAAAGAGCGCGUAGGCGGCCCAGUCAGUCCGCUCUGAAAGUCAGGGGCUUAACCCCUGAAUGCGGGUGGAUACUGCUGGGCUAGAGUCCGGAAGAGGCGAGUGGAAUUCCUGGUGUAGCGGUGAAAUGCGCAGAUAUCAGGAGGAACACCAAUGGCGAAGGCAGCUCGCUGGGACGUGACUGACGCUGAGACGCGAAAGCGUGGGGAGCAAACAGG
rnacentral:rRNA from 1 species